rfam:Candidatus Methylomirabilis oxyfera complete genome.
GGGGGCGCUCCGGUUUCGACGGGGGCAAGGGCGUCAGGGCUGCGUGCCGAGGACCCAUCACCUCGUGAAAAGGUGGGAACACAAGCAACUGCCAAUCACGAACUGGCACUGGCCGCCUAAGGGUAGCCACGUCCACCCCGCUUCGCCUGUCGGGCGGGAUCUGGGCGCCGACUAGACGGGCUGGCUGGCCUCUCUCGCUUUGGGGAGGCGGGCAAGAUCACAUGAGCUAGCCGCUCCGGGACCCCGCCUGUGGGGGCCUGAAGGGGCGAAAAUUCAUACGCAGGCUACGCACGUAGAUGCUCUUUCCGACAUGUUCUCGGACGCGGGUUCGACUCCCGCCGCCUCCACCA